UAAGGCUGGGGCAGCUGGAAGGAACGUUGCCGGCAUUGACCACGUUGCAGAGCGUGUAUUCGCCCUUUCCUUCCGUGGCCUUCCAGAAGCCGGGCUGUUCGGCCGCGGCAAGGGUCGAACCGAAAGGCAGGGCCGGGACCUUCAUGUCGAACCACUGUUUGAGCAGGAUCGAGCUCUCGGGCAUAUCCAUCCAGAUGUUGAUGAUUUCCGCUUUUGUAUUCUUGGCCUUCAACAGCCCCAUGCUGAAAUCCGUGGCGCCGGUGGGAUACACCUCCAGACCCAUGAUGUAGGGACAAGGGCACUAAGUAGAGGGGUUUUAAUCUC
rnacentral:rRNA from 1 species